rnacentral:misc_RNA from 1 species
UCGCGGCUUAUCACCGGCAGUCUCCCUAGAGUGCCCAACUGAAUGAUGGCAACUAGGGACGAGGGUUGCGCUCGUUGCGGGACUUAACCCAACAUCUCACGACACGAGCUGACGACAGCCAUGCAGCACCUGUCUCUCGGUUCCCGAAGGCACCCCCGCAUCUCUGCAGGGUUCCGAGGAUGUCAAGCCCUGGUAAGGUUCUUCGCGUCGCGUCGAAUUAAGCAACAUGCUCCGCCGCUUGUGCGGGCCCCCGUCAAUUCCUUUGAGUUUCAACCUUGCGGUCGUACUCCCCAGGCGGGGUACUUCCUGCGUUAGCGCCGGCACCCAGAGGGUCGCUCCCCCAGGCACCUAGUACCCAUCGUUUACGGCGUGGACUAC